rnacentral:rRNA from 1 species
UUAGAUACCCUGGUAGUCCCACAGUAAACGAUGAAUACUCGCUGUUUGCGAUAUACAGUAAGCGGCCAAGCGAAAGCAUUAAGUAUUCCACCUGGGGAGUACGCCGGCAACGGUGAAACUCAAAGGAAUUGACGGGGGCCCGCACAAGCGGAGGAACAUGUGGUUUAAUUCGAUGAUACGCGAGGAACCUUACCCGGGCUUAAAUUGCACCUGAAUAACGUGGAAACAUGUUAGCCGCAAGGCAGGUGGUGAAGGUGCUGCAUGGNUUGUCGUCAGCUCGUGCCGUGAGGUGUCGGCUUAAGUGCCAUAACGAGCGCAACCCUUAUCUUUAGUUACUAACAGGUCAUGCUGAGGACUCUAGAGAGACUGCCGUCGUAAGAUGUGAGGAAGGGUGGGGAUGACGUCAAAUCAGCACGGCCCUUACGUCCGGNGCUACACACGUGUUAAAUGGGGGGUACAGAAGGCCGCUACCUGGCGACAGGAUGCUAAUCCCAAAAACCUCUCUCA